UGCCAGACUCCUACGGGAGGCAGCAGUGGGGAAUAUUGCACAAUGGGGGAAACCCUGAUGCAGCGACGCCGCGUGAGCGAAGAAGUACCUCGGUAUGUAAAGCUCUAUCAGCAGGGAAGAAGAUGACGGUACCUGACCAAGAAGCUCCGGCUAAAUACGUGCCAGCAGCCGCGGUAAUACGUAUGGUGCAAGCGUUAUCCGGAUUUACUGGGCGUAAAGGGAGCGCAGGCGGCGCGCCAAGUCUGAUGUGAAACCCCGGGGCUCAACCCCGGGCAUGCAUUGGAAACUGGCGGGCUGGAGUGCCGGAGAGGUAAGCGGAAUUCCUAGUGUAGCGGUGAAAUGCGUAGAUAUUAGGAGGAACACCAGUGGCGAAGGCGGCUUACUGGACUGCGACUGACGUUGAGGCCCGAAAGCGUGGGGAGCAAACAGGAUUAGAUACCCUAGUA
rnacentral:rRNA from 1 species